UACGUAGGGCGCAAGCGUUAUCCGGAAUUAUUGGGCGUAAAGGGCUCGUAGGCGGUUUGUCGCGUCUGCCGUGAAAGUCCGGGGCUCAACUCCGGAUCUGCGGUGGGUACGGGCAGACUAGAGUGAUGUAGGGGAGACUGGAAUUCCUGGUGUAGCGGUGAAAUGCGCAGAUAUCAGGAGGAACACCGAUGGCGAAGGCAGGUCUCUGGGCAUUAACUGACGCUGAGGAGCGAAAGCGUGGGGAGCAAACAGG
rnacentral:rRNA from 1 species